AGAGUUUGAUCCUGGCUCAGAUUGAACGCUGGCGGCAGGCCUAACACAUGCAAGUCGAGCGGUAGCACAGAGAGCUUGCUCUCGGGUGACGAGCGGCGGACGGGUGAGUAAUGUCUGGGAAACUGCCUGAUGGAGGGGGAUAACUACUGGAAACGGUAGCUAAUACCGCAUAACGUCGCAAGACCAAAGAGGGGGACCUUCGGGCCUCUUGCCAUCAGAUGUGCCCAGAUGGGAUUAGCUAGUAGGUGGGGUAACGGCUCACCUAGGCGACGAUCCCUAGCUGGUUUGAGAGGAUGACCAGCCACACUGGAACUGAGACACGGUCCAGACUCCUACGGGAGGCAGCAGUGGGGAAUAUUGCACAAUGGGCGCAAGCCUGAUGCAGCCAUGCCGCGUGUAUGAAGAAGGCCUUCGGGUUGUAAAGUACUUUCAGCGAGGAGGAAGGCAUUGUGGUUAAUAACCGCAGUGAUUGACGUACU
rnacentral:rRNA from 1 species